rnacentral:rRNA from 1 species
AGUGAACGCUGGCGGUGGGCCUAACACAUGCAAGUCGAACGGCAGCACAGUAAGAGCUUGCUCUUACGGGUGGCGAGUGGCGGACGGGUGAGGAAUACAUCGGAAUCUACUUUUUCGUGGGGGAUAACGUAGGGAAACUUACGCUAAUACCGCAUACGACCUACGGGUGAAAGCAGGGGAUCUUCGGACCUUGCGCGAUUGAAUGAGCCGAUGUCGGAUUAGCUAGUUGGCGGGGUAAAGGCCCACCAAGGCGACGAUCCGUAGCUGGUCUGAGAGGAUGAUCAGCCACACUGGAACUGAGACACGGUCCAGACUCCUACGGGAGGCAGCAGUGGGGAAUAUUGGACGAUGGGCGAAAGCCUGAUCCAGACAUACCGCGUGGGUGAAGAAGGCAUUCGGGUUGUAAAGCCCUUUUGUUGGGAAAGAAAAGCAGCAGGUUAAUACCCCGCUGUUCUGACGGUACCCAAAGAAUAAGCACCGGCUAACUUCGUG